UGUCCACUGGUAUAUUGAGUUGACUUCGGCUGUUCUGUUUCUACGAUGCUUCAGCUCUGAACACGUCAACCACUCAAAGUUGAGCAAAGACAACAAAUACCAACAGUGAAUUCCGAGCACUGAUUCUGCCAUUUUACGAAAGAGGGAAGUCACGCAGUAAUUACCCCAACAGUGGGAUGAUAGCAAUUCUCAGCAAGGUUAGUAUUUAUAAUUACCUCAGUUUGUGGAUGCUACUAAUUACAUUCCGGACAAUAAGGGGAAAACAUUUUUGAAGCAAGGAUGCAUUGCAUGCGACAGCAAAUCUUCCGAUCCGCCGAGCCCUCCACUUGCCAGUGUGACCCCCCCCUCCUUACUGCUCAGCAUUCAAAACUGCAGCUACAACCACCAAACUGAAAAAUCCAGAUCCAAAUAAUUUUAAUAACCUUCAUCCCAUCUCUAACCUUGUCUUUCUCUCAAAAAUCUUGAAAAAGACCUUUGCUUCCUGCCUCUGACCCCUCCAUGUAGCACAGAAGCAACACUUCAAGAUCAAUAACGACCUCCUCCUGGCA